rnacentral:rRNA from 1 species
CGUAGGACGCAAGCGUUAUCCGGAGUUACUGGGCGUAAAGCGCGGGCAGGCGGUUCGAUGCGUCUGAUGUGAAAGCGCCCCGCUAAACGGGGCGAGGCCAUUGGAAACGGUCGGACUGGAGGGCAGUAGAGGCAGGCGGAAUUCCGGGUGGAGUGGUGAAAUGCGUAGAGAUCCGGAGGAACACCAGAGGCGAAGGCGGCCUGCUGGGCUGCACCUGACGCUGAGCCGCGAAAGCCAGGGGAGCGAACGGGAUUAGAAACCCCGGUAGUCCUGGCCGUAAACGAUGUGUGCUGGAUGAUGGCCCGAACGGGUCGUUGUCGAAGCCAACGCGAUAAGCACACCGCCUGGGGAGUACGGUCGCAAGGCUA